GGGCAGCCGCCCCCGGUAACACCGGCAGCCCAAGUGGUAGCCACGCUUAUUGGGUCUAAAGCGUUCGUAGCCGGCUUGGUAAGUUCCUUGGUAAAUUUAGCCGCUUAACGGUUAAGCUUUCAGGGAAUACUGCUUGGCUUGGGACUGGGAGAGGUCAGAGGUACUCCAGGGGUAGGGGUGAAAUCCAUUAAUCCUUGGGGGACCACCGGUAGCGAAGGCGUCUGACCAGACCAGCUCCGACGGUGAGGGACGAAGGCUAGGGGCGCGAACCGGAUUAGAUACCCGGGUAGUCCUAGCUGUAAACGAUGCGGGCUAGGUGUUGGCAUUACUGCGAGUGGUGCCAGUGCCGAAGGGAAGCCGUUAAGCUCGCCAUCUGGGGAGUACGGUCGCAAGGCUAAACUAAAGGAAUUGGGGGGGAGCACCACAACG
rnacentral:rRNA from 1 species